GAUGAACGCUGGCGGCGUGCCUAAUACAUGCAAGUCGAGCGAACGGACGAGGAGCUUGCUUCUCUGAUGUUAGCGGCGGACGGGUGAGUAACACGUGGAUAACCUACCUAUAAGACUGGGAUAACUUCGGGAAACCGUAGCUAAUACCGGAUAAUCUUUUGAACCGUAUUGUUCAAAAGUGAAAGACGGCCUUGCUGUCUCUUCUAGAUGGAUCCGCGCUGCAUUAGCUAGUUGGUAAGGUAACGGCUUACCAAGGCAACUAUGCAUAGCCGACCUGAGAGGGUGAUCGGCCACACUGGAACUGAGACACGGUCCAGACUCCUACGGGAGGCAGCAGUAGGGAAUCUUCCGCAAUGGGCGAAAGCCUGACGGAGCAACGCCGCGUGAGUGAUGAAGGUCUUCGGAUCGUAAAACUCUGUUAUUAGGGAAGAACAUAUGUGUAAGUAACUGUGCACAUCUUGACGGUACCUAAUCAGAAAGCCACGGCUAACUACGUG
rnacentral:rRNA from 1 species